UACGUAGGGUGCGAGCGUUGUCCGGAAUUAUUGGGCGUAAAGAGCUCGUAGGCGGUUUGUCGCGUCGACUGUGAGAACCCGAGGCUUAACCUCGGGCCUGCAGUCGAUACGGGCAGACUAGAGUUCGGUAGGGGAGACUGGAAUUCCUGGUGUAGCGGUGAAAUGCGCAGAUAUCAGGAGGAACACCGGUGGCGAAGGCGGGUCUCUGGGCCGAUACUGACGCUGAGGAGCGAAAGCGUGGGGAGCGAACAGG
rnacentral:rRNA from 1 species